rnacentral:lncRNA from 1 species
UGUACAUAAUUAAACAUGAGUGAAGUUCUAACAGAACAUAAAGACCAACUUUGAAUAAAAUUACCAAAUUAUACACUUUUGCAAAAAUAUCUCAAUAUAGAUAAGCUAAAAAGACAUUAUUCGGGAAGAACUAAUCCAAUUUGGAAAGGACAAUGUCUUCUGUCAAAAAACAGAGUUGGCUUACUGCAUAUUGUAAUAAAAGAUGCCACCUUCCAUGAUGCCAUUGAUGCUAAUAAAUAUCAGAGCUCAUCCUUGUCAUUAGAUCCUACAAUAGAACCAAAAGAGGAGUAUCUUUUAAUUCAAUCCAAAUUUCAUAGCUAUAAAACUAGUUAGGUUGCCCACAUAAGAACAACCAUAUUUCCAACUUGUGCAACUAAACUUUUGGGUGUUUUGACUUAUAGAUCACAAUCUUUGUAAACUUUUAUUUCAAACUUUUGAGUAAGGCAUGAACCAACAACUAUCUAACAUCAAACUAAGUUUUUCAUAGCUAUUUAGGCCAUCUGCGGCUGCUUUAAAGCCAGCUAAACUGUUAUGAACUUUGAUCUUAUUAUACAUUUUAAUCACAAAAUGACAAAUGCAGGUUUAAAUUGCAGAUUCAUGAGAUGAAGUAGUUUUCUAGUACAGGAUCUACUUCCUACAAAAAAAAUAUGCACAAAAAUAAAUCUAGGAAGGAUCUAGAAGUCAUGUUCAAUAAAUUCUUGCUGAGAAUCUCACAUGAAUAGGACUUCGGUGCUAAAAACUCUAAAAUUUCUCAUGUGAAGGCAAUUGUGUUAUACCAGUUUAAUUACGAUACAAGAAAAUGGUUUGAAGACACGGAUUAUUAAAAAGAAGGAUACAACAAUUUUGGAAAAAUAACAGACAAAAUUCAGAAAGAAGAAUAUAAAUUAUGGAAACAAAGUUAAAAUAGCAGCAAAUUUUGUACAUAAUUAAACGUGAGUGAAGUUCUAAAAUAACAUAAAGACCAACUUUGAAUAAAAUUAUCAAAUUAUACACUUUUGCAAAAAAAUCUCAAUAUAGAUAAGCUAAAAAGACAUUAUUCGGGAAGAACUAAUCCAAUUUGGAAUGGACAAGGUCUUCUGUCAAAAACAGAGUUGGCUUACUGCAUAUUGUAAUAAAAGAUGCCACCUACCAUGAUGACAUUGAUGCUAAUAAAUACCAGAGCUCAUAUUUGUCAUUUGAUCCUACAAUAGUACCAAAAGAGGAGUAUCUUUUAAUUCAAUCCAAAUUUCAUAGCUAUAAACCUAGUUAGGUUGCCGACACAAGAACAACCAUAUUUCCUACUUAUGCAACUAAACUUUUGGGUGUUUUGACUUAUAAAUCACAAUCUUUGUAAACUUUUAUUUCAUGCUUUUGAGUAAGGCAUGAACCAACAACUAUCUAUCAUCAAACUAUGUUUUUCAUAGCUAUUUAGGCUAUUUGCGGCUGCUUUAAAGCCAGCUAAAUUGUUCUGAACUUUGAUCGUAUGAUACAGUUUAAUCAGAAAAUGACAAAUGCAGGUUUAAAUUGCAGAUUCAUUAGAUGCAGUAGUUUUCUAGUAAAGGAACUACUUCCUACAAAAAAAAUAUGCACAAAAAUAAUUCUAGGAAGGAUCUAGAUGUCAUGUUCAAUAAAUUUUUGCUGAAAAUCUCAAAUGAAUAGGACUUCUGUGCUAAAAACUCUAAAAUUUCUCUUGUGAAAACAUGAUUUGUAGACUCACGGAGUAUUAAAAAGUGGGCUACAACAAUUUUGGAAAAAUAACAGACAAAAUUCAGAAAGAAGAAUAUCAAUAAUGGAUACGAAGUUAAAAUAACAGCAAAUUUUGUACAUAAUUAAACAUGAGUGAAGUUCUAAAAUAACAUAAAGACCAACUUUGAAUAAAAUUACCAAAUUAUACACUUUUGCAAAAAUAUCUCAAUAUAGAUAAGCUAAAAAGACAUUAUUCAGGAAGAACUAAUCAAAUUUGGAAAGAACAAGGUCGUCUGCAAAAAACAGAGUUGGAUUACUGCAUAUUGUAAUAAAAGAUGCCACCUUCCAUGAUGACAUUGAUGCUAAUAAAUACCAGAGCUCAUCCUUGUCAUUUGAUCCUACAAUAGAAUCAAAAGAGGAGUAUCUUUUAAUUCAAUCCAAAUUUCAUGGCUAUAAACCUAGUUAGGUUGCCGACACAAGAACAACCAUAUUUCCAACUUAUGCAACUAAACUUUUGGGUGUUUUGACUUAUAGAUCACAAUCUUUGUAAACUUUUAUUUCAAGCUUUUGAGUAAGGCAUGAACCAACAACUAUCUAACAUCAAACUAAGUUUUUCAUAGCUAUUUAGGCCAUCUGCGGCUGCUUUAAAGCCAGCUAAACUGUUCUGAACUUUGAUCUUAUUAUACAUUUUAAUCAGAAAAUGACAAAUGCAGGUUUAAAUUGCAGAUUCAUGAGAUGAAGUAGUUUUCUAGUUAAGGAUCUACUUCCUAUAAAAAAAAUAUGCACAAAAAUAAUUCUAGGAAGGAUCUAGAUGUCAUGUUCAAUAAAUUCUUGCUGAAAAUCUCACAUGAAUUGGACUUCUGUGCUAAAAACUCUAAAAUUUCUCUUGUGAAGGCAAUUGUGUUAUACCAGAUUAAUUACCAUACAAUAACAUGAUUUGUAGACUCACGGAGUAUUAAAAAGUGGGCUACAACAAUUUUGAAAAAAUAACAGACAAAAUUCAGAAAGAAGAAUAUCAAUUAUGGAUACGAAGUUAAAAUAACAGCAAAUUUUGUACAUAAUUAAACAUGAGUGAAGUUCCAAAAGAACAUAAAGACCAACUUUG